rnacentral:rRNA from 1 species
UACGUAGGGGGCAAGCGUUAUCCGGAAUUACUGGGUGUGAAGGGAGCGUAGACGGUAAUGUAAGUCUGGAGUGAAAGGCGGGGGCCCAACCCCCGGACUGCUCUGGAAACUGUGUAACUGGAGUGCAGGAGAGGCAGGCGGAAUUCCUAGUGUAGCGGUGAAAUGCGUAGAUAUUAGGAGGAACACCAGUGGCGAAGGCGGCCUGCUGGACUGUAACUGACGUUGAGGCACGAAGGCCAGGGGAGCGAAAGGG